rnacentral:rRNA from 1 species
GGCAGACGGGUGAGUAACGCGUGGGAACCUACCCAUUGGUUCGGAAUAACUCAGGGAAACUUGAGCUAAUACCGGAUACGUCGGGAACGAGAAAGAUUUAUCGCCGAUGGAUGGGCCCGCGUCGGAUUAGCUAGUUGGUGGGGUAAUGGCCUACCAAGGCAACGAUCCGUAGCUGGUCUGAGAGGAUGAUCAGCCACACUGGGACUGAGACACGGCCCAGACUCCUACGGGAGGCAGCAGUGGGGAAUAUUGGACAAUGGGCGCAAGCCUGAUCCAGCCAUGCCGCGUGAGUGAAGAAGGCCUUAGGGUUGUAAAGCUCUUUCAGCGGGGAAGAUAAUGACGGUACCCGCAGAAGAAGCCCCGGCUAACUUCGUGCCAGCAGCCGCGGUAAUACGAAGGGGGCUAGCGUUGUUCGGAAUUACUGGGCGUAAAGCGCGCGUAGGCGGAUUUGUAAGUCAGGGGUGAAAUGCCAGGGCUUAACCUUGGAACUGCCUUUGAUACUGCGAGUCUGGAGUACGGGAGAGGUGAGUGGAAUUCCGAGUGUAGAGGUGAAAUUCGUAGAUAUUCGGAGGAACACCAGAAGCGAAGGCGGCUCACUGGCCCGAUACUGACGCUGAGGCGCGAAAGCGUGGGGAGCAAACAGGAUUAGA